rfam:Stegodyphus mimosarum contig62396, whole genome shotgun sequence.
GCUUUCGUGGUUUAGUGAUCAACACACUCGGCGCGUAUUCGAGAGGUCCGUGGUUCGAGUCCCGGCGGGGGCA